UCUGUGUCUCCCUCUCUCUCUGCCCCUCCCCUGUUCAUGCUCUGUCUCUCUCUGUCUCAAAAAUAAAUAAACGUUAAAAAAAAUUAAAAAAAAAAUUCCACCCAGAUGGUUUGAACAUCCUUGACAAGGUCGAGAGUCACUGGUCCAAAGAGUUAACCAAACGAACAUUUACCACGCUCUCACAAGAGUUAUGAUUUAGGAAGGCCUAGCACAAAGAAGAAAUCGAAAAAAGUUCAGUGCUCUCUUAUUUUGUCAAUCAGCAUCCGAAUCCAAGUCCAUGCUUUUUCUUAUGUCCAACUCCUGUCUUUUCCCCAAGCAACCCCUGCCUCCUACUGCUGCAGGAAGCUAUCAGCUAAGGGACUGUUCCAUUGGACAUCUAAAAACUAUGGGUUGCUACAGAAAAUGUGAGGUAUCAGACAGCCCCACGUGUAGUGAAAAAGGGCAAAGGGAAACAGGUUUUGCUAGAGAACUCUGUGACUCCAGAUUCCCUAGAAAUUAUGCAGUUUUGCAGCAAUUGCCGGCUUUCUGUGAAGACAUAAACUCUGAAAUAUGAAUAAGGGACAGAAAGUUAAAGAAGAUUUUUCUCAGGACCUGUAUGUGACCGUGCUGAAGACAGCCAGGAAAGUCAGCGAGGUAUGUAGAAUCACACAGCUGGGAUGAGACAAAGUAAGAAAACAAACAUGAAAUGAAAAGGUGUGUUUUCUUUCUUUUUGGAGACUCAGCUCCCUCUAUGGGCCUACAAUUCCUAGUGCAUCCUCUGUGUCUUUUCCCUAUUUUCUGCCUAGAAUUGCUGGGGUCCCUUAAUUUUAAUUACAGCUUGAAAGGAAGGAUUAGCAGAGUCAAAUUAACAGGCAUUUAUUGAGACACUACCCUGGGCAGUAUGCCUGCGAAAUGGUUGUCAAAUUUGAGUUUGUGAUCAGAAACACCUGGAAGGCCUGAUAAAACAGGCUUCUGGGCCCCACCCCAGAGUUUCAGAUUCAGUAGGUCUGAACUGGGGCUUGGGAAUGUCCAUUUCUAAGAAAUUCCCAGGUGAUGAUCCUAGUGUUAUCUGCAGGCCACACCAUAAGAAACACUGUCUCUAGGGAUGAAAAAAACAAAUGGGUUAUCAGCAAUCUGUCUUUGAUUCAAGAUUCUUAAGGAGAUGUAUUAGGGGUGUCUUGUGUCACACGUUUGACAAAAAAGGAAUGCUGGUGAGUAAUGUACUUUUUAAAGCAAAAUAUAGUUCAAUACACUCCAGAUACAAUACCUAAUUAAAUAGCAGUGAGGCACAAGAGGUUAUAGAGACGACAGAGAAUAAAUAACACAGUACCCUGGCCUACAGGGGUGAGGGUGGCCUGUGGAGCCUAGUUUAUUGGGAAGCACACACCAGUGAGGAGAGCCACUGAGUAUUUGGGCCUAAAAGGGAAAACUCAGGGUCUUAAAUGCUAGAAAGUGGAGGGCCAUGGUCCUUAUGCUAAUUAAGCACUGAAAACUCACAUUCUCCUAAGACUGAGGUCAGUGCAUGAGAUCUGUAAAGUAGCCCCCUUGCUUACUGGUCAUGAACAAGUUCACUUAGAUCCAGAAAAGGUCUGGUGUUAUGGCGUGGGUGGGGCAGGGUGUGUGACUCCAAGUCCCUAGUGGUUAAUCAGAUUCAGCUGGGUAGGACCCAGUAUAAUGAAAUACAACACUUAAUUUUGUCAUCUCUUAGGCAAGUGCUGCUGCAAGUGAAAUUUUUUUUUUCUUUUCUUUCUUUCUUUCUUUCUUUCUUUUUUUUUUUUUGUAAUAGAAAAGACUAUCUGGAGAGGGCAUCCAGAAUCAGGUCUCAAAAGCAAUGCUGCACAGGACUGACAAAGGGUUGAUAAAGGUUAUCAGGCCAGGGGUAUUUGUGACAUAAAUAGUGUCCUGAAGUUGGAGAUAGCAAGACCUUGGACAAUUGUUGAGCCAAUUGGGUUGGCUUUAGUGAACAGACCGUGUGGGUCUGAAAGGAGAAAUGAAGAUAUUUACGCAUCUGUGUAGCAUUUAAAAGGAGUGACCAGGAGGCACCAAAAACAAAUUCCCCCCAAAUGAUGGCUGUAUCUCAAUCCACAGCAUGGGCCCUCUUCCGAAAGUGCGUACAGAAAAGUGAUUAUGUCCACUGCGGCCUACAGCAUUAUCUUCCUUUCUCCUCCUUCCUGGAAAGUAUUAUAUUUUUUCCUCCCUCCAGGAUUUUAUAAUUACCAUGGGGGAAAGAAAAAAUAAAUGAUGCUAAGUUUGCUGAAUGCAAAUUUUUCAAAACUUCA